AACGAACGCUGGCGGCAUGCUUAACACAUGCAAGUCGAACGAGACCUUCGGGUCUAGUGGCGCACGGGUGCGUAACGCGUGGGAAUCUGCCCUUUGCUACGGAAUAACUCAGAGAAAUUUGUGCUAAUACCGUAUAAUGUCGAAAGACCAAAGAUUUAUCGGCAAAGGAUGAGCCCGCGUAGGAUUAGCUUGUUGGUGAGGUAAAGGCUCACCAAGGCGACGAUCCUUAGCUGGUCUGAGAGGAUGAUCAGCCACACUGGGACUGAGACACGGCCCAAACUCCUACGGGAGGCAGCAGUGGGGAAUCUUGCGCAAUGGGCGAAAGCCUGACGCAGCCAUGCCGCGUGAAUGAUGAAGGUCUUAGGAUUGUAAAAUUCUUUCACCGGGGACGAUAAUGACGGUACCCGGAGAAGAAGCCCCGGCUAACUUCGUGCCAGCCGCCGCGGUAAAAC
rnacentral:rRNA from 1 species